AUUGAACGCUGGCGGCAGGCCUAACACAUGCAAGUCGAGCGGAGCGGCGGACGGGUGAGUAAUGCCUGGGAAUCUGCCUGGUAUUGGGGGAGACCUUCCGGAAACGGGUGCUAAUACCGCAUACUCUCAUAUGGGCCUAGUUCGGGUUAGGUAGUUGGUGGGGUAAAGGCCUACCUAGGCGACGAUCCGUAACUGGUCUGAGCGGAUGAUCAGUCACACUGGAACUGAGACACGGUCCAGACUCCUACGGGAGGCAGCAGGUGGGAAUAUUGGUCAAUGGGCGAAAGCCUGAUCCAGCCAUGCCGCGUGUGUGAAGAAGGUCUUCGGAUUGUAAAGCUCUUUAAGUUGGGAAGCGUUACCAACAGAAUAAGCACCGGCUAACUUCGUGCCAGCAGCCGCGGUAAUUC
rnacentral:rRNA from 1 species